rnacentral:rRNA from 1 species
AUUGAACGCUGGCGGCAGGCCUAACACAUGCAAGUCGAGCGGUAGAGAGGUGCUUGCAUCUCUUGAGAGCGGCGGACGGGUGAGUAAUGCCUAGGAAUCUGCCUAGUGGUGGGGGAUAACGUUCGGAAACGGACGCUAAUACCGCAUACGUCCUACGGGAGAAAGCGGGGGAUCUUCGGACCUCGCGCCAUUAGAUGAGCCUAGGUCGGAUUAGCUAGUUGGUGAGGUAAUGGCUCACCAAGGCGACGAUCCGUAACUGGUCUGAGAGGAUGAUCAGUCACACUGGAACUGAGACACGGUCCAGACUCCUACGGGAGGCAGCAGUGGGGAAUAUUGGACAAUGGGCGAAGACCUGAUCCAGCCAUGCCGCGUGUGUGAAGAAGGUCUUCGGAUUGUAAAGCACUUUAAGUUGGGAGGAAGGGUAGUAACCUAAUACGUUGCUACUUUGACGUUACCGACAGAAUAAGCACCGGCUAACUUCGUGCCAGCAGCC